ACACCAGCUGCAGUCGACGAUUCCUACGGGAGGCAGCAGUGAGGAAUAUUGGACAAUGGAGGCAACUCUGAUCCAGCCAUGCCGCGUGCAGGAAGACUGCCCUAUGGGUUGUAAACUGCUUUUAUAGGGGAAGAAACCUUCUUACGUGUAAGAAGCUGACGGUACCCUACGAAUAAGGAUCGGCUAACUCCGUGCCAGCAGCCGCGGUAAUACGGAGGAUCCAAGCGUUAUCCGGAAUCAUUGGGUUUAAAGGGUCCGUAGGCGGGUCUAUAAGUCAGUGGUGAAAGUCUUCCGCUCAACGGGAGAACUGCCAUUGAUACUGUAGGUCUUGAGUCAUUAUGAAGUGGUUAGAAUGAGUAGUGUAGCGGUGAAAUGCAUAGAUAUUACUCAGAAUACCGAUUGCGAAGGCAGAUCACUAAUAAUGUACUGACGCUGAUGGACGAAAGCGUAGGUAGCGAACAGGAUUAGAUACCCUGGUAGUCUACGCCGUAAACGAUGGUCACUAGCUGUCCGAGCCAAUUGAGGCUUGGGUGGUUAAGCGAAAGUGAUAAGUGACCCACCUGGGGAGUACGUUCGCAAGAAUGAAACUCAAAGGAAUUGACGG
rnacentral:rRNA from 1 species